AAAGCGUGCGCAGGCGGUUUUGUAAGUCUGUCGUGAAAGCCCCGGGCUUAACCUGGGAAUUGCGAUGGAGACUGCAAGGCUUGAAUCUGGCAGAGGGGGGUAGAAUUCCACGUGUAGCAGUGAAAUGCGUAGAGAUGUGGAGGAACACCGAUGGCGAAGGCAGCCCCCUGGGUCAAGAUUGACGCUCAUGCACGAAAGCGUGGGGAGCAAACAGGAUUAGAUACCCCAGU
rnacentral:rRNA from 1 species